rnacentral:rRNA from 1 species
AAUAUUGGACAACGGGCGCAAGGCUGACCCAGCCAUCCCGCGUGAGUUAAGAAGGCCUUCGGGCUGUAAAGCUCUUUCGGACGGAAAGAAAACGCGCAGGCUAAUACCCUGCGCGGAACACGGUACCGUCAUAAGAAGAACCGGCUAAGUACGUGCCACCAGCCGCGGUAAUACGUAGGGUGCGAGCGUUAAUCGGAAUUACUGGGCGUAAAGCGUGCGCAGGCGGUUGAUUAAGACAGGCGUGAAAUCCCCGGGCUUAACCUGGGAACUGCGCUUGUGACUGGUCAGCUAGAGUACGGCAGAGGGGGGUGGAAUUCCACGUGUAGCAGUGAAAUGCGUAGAGAUGUGGAGGAACACCGAUGGCGAAGGCAGCCCCCUGGGCCGAUACUGACGCUCAUGCACGAAAGCGUGGGUAGCAAACAGG